rnacentral:pre_miRNA from 1 species
AGAGGAAUAGCUGGGUCAAAUGGUGGUUCCAUUUAUGGAUGUUGAUUUUAUAUCCAGAUUUCCAAGGAAUCGCCAUACUGUUUUCCAAAUUGGCUGCACCAAUUUGCAGUCCCACCAGCAAU